UUCUUGAAUCAUCUUCAAGAUUCUCAAAACUUGUCUCUUCCCUCAGAGCUUUGCUUCAAACUUUACUCGCUUGCGCUCUGUAAAGCCCUUCUAAGCUCAGAAGCCAUGACAUGCAAAAGAACAGGUUUCUGAAUCAUACCAUUCAUCCCCAUUUGCAAACACCUUUCCCUAACAUGAUCUUCAGUACUCGCAGUCAAAGCUAUAAUCAACGGCCAAUGAUGUCCACAAAACUUCCUUAUCUUCAUCGCUACUUCGAAACCAUCCAUCUCUGGCAUCUGCAGAUCCAAUAUCACAACCCUAUACGACAUUUCCACAUUAGACAACGCACUCAAACACUCAAAUCCAGAAGACACAGCUGUCACUUCACAUCCUAGUUUCUCUAAAAGCCUCUUGGUUACGGUUCUGUUUACAUCAUCAUCAUCUGCUAGAGUGAUUCUUAGACCACGAAGAAUUGAGUUUGAGUUUGGAUGUUGAAGCUCUGGAGCAUUUCCGGCUAAGAUUGAUCUUCUGAUAGAAGGUCUUGUCUGAAACCUCAGAACCAGUUGCAUACUCUGUGUUUGUCCAUGUGACUUCGGUGAUAUCCAUAUGUUCCCUUGCAUCAUCUGCAGACAAAUAUCAAAUCACAUAUAGACUGUUAGUGCUGGACAAAAUAUCCAAACCCGAAGAACAGAACUAAAUAAUCAAAACUGGUAAGGUAUUUGAACGGCUUCACAAUUGUAUAUUUAAAUAUAUUAAUUACUUUUAGAUACAAUAUCCAAAUAUUCAAAAAUACUCAAACUUAUCCAAAAUACUUGAAAAAUAGCUAAAAAUGAAUAUCCCAAAAUAUCCAAAAAAUACUCAAAACACUGAAAAUUCUCUACAUGUCUAGUGGUUCUCUAACCAAAUAUCAAACCGAACAUUUUUUCAUGUUAAUUUUAGAUAUUUAGCAUACAUUAUUCAGAUUUGUACAUUGUAUAUUAUUUUUAGUAUGGAUUUUAAGGUAUAUUGAGAUUUUAAAAUUUUGUUUAUAUAAUUAAAAUGGAUAAACGAACUCUAACCGAACCCGCAAAGAACUAAACCCAAACAGAAAUUUAUAAAUACCCGAAUGAGGCUUAAAUAUCUAGCCCCGAAAACCCAAAACCUAAACGGAUACCCGAAUGUCCACCCGAGCCUGUAAUAAAAAGAAACAUAUGUUUUUGAUGUGAUCACUAACCUGUGCAAGUUUUCUACACAUGCCUAAGCUCAAGCCUUCUUUAAUCCCAUUGCUAUGAUACCUUCUGUUUGUAACAUGCCUCAUUGCAAUCACCGAACCAUCCAACGGAGGACUCUUAAUCUCAUUAAUCUCAACUUCAAACUUAACACCGAGCGAAUCAUCAGACAAAUGAGACUUCCACAUCCCACUCUCUCUCUUGUUCUUGUCCUGACUACUCCCAGUCCCUUCAGACACAACCCUAAACGUAACCGUCUUCCCUCCUUCGCUCAUAUCCAAGAUAUACCCAAGCAUAUACAUCACAAGCUGAAACGUCCUCUUCUCAUCUCCCACCACUAAACUAGGCAGACGCGUCUGAACAUCCAUCUCAAACCCGUAGCCUUUGUAAACACUCAAGCAUUUGGCAACACAAGCAGCUUCUCUUAUCAGAGAAUGAAGCUGAAACCGUUUAACCUCCAACGGAGACUUCCCGUUGUCUUUAGGAGAAAUGUCAAUCACGUCGUUGAUCAAAGCAGAGAGGACAGUACUCGUUUUCAUGAGCGCGUCGACGAUGAUCUUCUGGUCGAGGCUCAUGCUCUCAGACUGGAACAUCGAGAGGAGGCCGAGGAUCGUGUGCAUCGGCCUCCUCAUGCCGUGACUCAUGACCUUUUGGCAAGUGUUCCUCGCCUGGCUCGCCAUCAUCGCGUUCUGUUUCGCCCGGAGCAAAGCUCGGUUUUGAAUACCGAGCUUUUCUCUCAUCAGCUGCGACUCCUCGAGCACCGAGGCGUGCGAGAGAGCCACAGCUACUUGGUCAGCGACGACCUCAGCUAUCUCGAUCUCUCUGUCCGUCCAAACGCGAGCGUUCGCGUUUGGAAGGACCAGAACCAUUAUAGCGUAGGAAGUAUCAACAAACUCAGGAGUCCCUCCUUUGAAAUUCGACCCGUGGAGCAUCGGCAUCCGAAUAGCCGCCACGGGACCACUCUCAUCAGAACCACUGCUCUCAAUCGCAAGAAGAGAAUCUUUCCUCAAAAUCGCAACCACUUUCGCCUCUCUAACCUGAACAACAUCAGGAUCGUUGAUCGGCACCACUCUAAAGCUCCUCAUAGAAUUCGACCUCAGCUCAUGAGUCAAAUGCAUCUCUGUUCUGCUCUCGUUAGGCAUCCAGACAGCAGAGUUCUGCAAAUCAAGAAUCUUGGAGAGCUCGACGAGCGUCGUCCUCAGGAUCAUAUGCUUAUCAAGAGACUUCCUAAUCUCUCUAGUAAGCAUCCUAACGUGCACACUCAUCUCCUUCUGCCGUUUCAUCAGCCCAACCUCCUCGUUAAGCUCAAGCACGUUCUGCUUCAAGUAAAGCUCUCUGACUUUCCACUUCAGCAGCAAAGGGAUCAAAGUCAAGAGCGUGAUGGCCGUCGCGCACGAGACCAACGCCGUCAAGAACUUAAAGAUCGUGAGCCAUAGCAUGAGCUGGAACGAGUGGGGUCCAUAGUAGGUCCACGCGUUGAGGAGGUGGGUCAUACCGCAGAGGACGAUGAAGGCGAUGAACUGUACGAGUACCCAUUUAAAGGGAACGUUGGAGAAGCUGAUGAAGUAGAGAAGCUCGAGGGGGAUGGAGAAGUAGGCGAUGGCGAUUAGGAGAUCGCUCACUCUCUGGCAUUCUAGGAUUGUGUGGACGGUGAAGAAGUAGUAGCCUUCGUCGUCGCAGUUGCAGCUUCCGUAGUCGUUGUUGUCUCCGGUGACGAGGGCGAUUAGAGCGAAGAGAAGCAAGCCUAGACCUAAGGAUCUUAACAUCUUGAUAAGCUCGGCGUCAGAUCCAAUGGAAACGGAGAUUCAAUGUUAAAGGAGAGACCUUUCGAAUCUAGGAGAGGUGAUUAGAGAGACCCGUCUCGGUGAAACAGGAUUUGCAUCGGACGGAAUCUUUAUGUCGGGUCAAAUCUGAAAUUUUUUUCUUACAGAAGAGGAGAAACAGAACAGAAGAGAAGAGAAACCGAGUUUUGUCGGGGCGUGUUUGAUCUUUUUACGGGGGUUUCAGACUUGAGUCAGCAACAGUUCAAAGUCUUUUAAGACAAAAAGGAGCAGACUUUGAGCUCAAGCGGUUUCUGGAGAAAGUUGCUUAAUAAAGAAAAAAUGGGUUUUCAUGAACACAUAAAUGCAUCAUUAACAGGUUAAUUCCCUUACGAUAGAAUUUUUAAAAAAAAUUACAAGUGGUUGACAAAAAAAAAAUUACAAGUUGACAUAAAAUAACUAAAAAUAUUUUAAAAAGAUACACUUUUUACAUUUUCAAUGCAUUUUUUAAUCGAUAAUAGUUAUAAAUUUCAAAGAAAUUAAUUGUGAUUUUUGUUUUGUGCUUGACUAAAAAUUGUGAUCGAGGUAAAUAGUUAAUCACAAAAACAAUACAUUUAUAACUAAAAUUUGAGAUGUUUUAUUAAGAUGUAUAAAAAUUUUAAAAUAUGUAACAACUUAAAGCAGAAGAAGUAAUUACUAUGAACUUCAAUGUAGAAAAAAAUUAGUCAAAUAUUGAGGAAAUAUAAAGCAAACAAAAGAAGUGUAUUUGUAUUCAUAACAGAGCAUUUUCUUUUCAUGUGAGCAAAACAAUAACAAACUAUAUAAACAUAGGAGAAGAAAAGAGUGAGAAAAGAAAAGGAAUGAAAUGAAAGAGAAGCAGGAAAAAAAGGCUGUGGAGUUUAUACAUAUAUUAACCAAGAAAGAACAAAAAGCAUCACUCAACUUCUAUUAUCUCUGGUGAAAACACUUCAGAUAAGAUUCUGUCUUUUUAAGUCAUAUCUCUCUCUCAGUUCAGAUUCUUUCUCAGGGCUUCAGUUUCUAAUUUGGAUCUAAACCCUACACACGUCUCUGGAAGCUAAUCCGGCAUUUGCUGCUCGUCAUCUCCAUUCUCAAACGACUCAUGUCCUAGACGUCCUGCACAAGAUUACAUCCAUUAGGUACACAAGUCACAUUAUCCCCAAGGAGAGCUUUAGCUUUGCUUUAUCUCUACCAUUAUUACAUAGCAUUAGUUUUAAGAAAGUAUUGAGGCUUUCUUUACCUGACAAAUCAUACCCACCGCCACCACCUCUACCGUCAUGACCACUGCUGCCUCCUCCUCCCCAUUCAGAUGGCCGGGGAUGUGUCAUCUGCAUUCCCUGCGGCGCUUGCAUCAUGAAAUGAUGAGAUCCACCCAUACCGGUUUGUUGAUGUUGAUGGUGAUGAUGAUGCUGCUCAUCGGUUCCCCUCAUUGGAUUUCUACCAGGAGAUUCCAUAACAGAACGGAAGCCCAUGCCAAGCAACGGUCCAGGACCCGGUCCAGGUCCAGUGCUAGAGGGAGAAGUUAACCGACUUCCGCUGUUGGAAGCUUCCCCUUUCACACCACUCCCUGCAGCAUCCUUCUUUCUAUCAAGCUGAAACGUACCAAGAAUCACCUGUUUUUGCACAAACCCCAAGGCGAUCAAUCUAAAGCCAUAACUUACUAAUAUAACACAUGAACCAAAAAAUGAAAGUUGCAAUUAUGAUACAAGAGGAGUUUUACCUGAACCGGACCAGAAGCUGUCAAGUGAGUCCCAACAGCUCCGCCGAUGAUCUGACCAUCAGAUCUAGAUAAAGAAACGCAAAGUCCACCGGUUUUCCCACCUUGUUCAGAUCGGAUAAAUGAUCCGGAUAGUGAGAUAAUCUCGUAAUGACCCUGAAUAAAUAAUCGAAAUUGAAGCAAGUCAAACAACUAUAUACAAACAUCAAAGAAAAGCAAGUCUAAAUAAAGAAUACUUGACUUAAUUCUUCUCUAGCACACAGAACAGAGAAGAUCAGGGAGAAAGAAAGUAAAUUCAUCUAGCCUUUGGGAAGAAAUAUCACCUCAUAAGAUAUGUUGCCUCCUGGCUGACGCAAGGAUGCAGUAGAGAUGGUGCCAGAUGCAGAUAGAACGCAUAGCUCAUGCUUGCUUUGCUGUGCAAACAUCACAAUCUUCUGAGCCACAUCCUGUCACCAGAGAACCACUUCAAAAGCGUUAAAAGAUUCCUCUAUGCACUCACAUCAAUUAAAACAAAAGGCAGUAUAUUUCCUCUAUUAGCUUUUAGCAUCACAACUUGGACAGUAGAUUUACAGACAAUGCUAUAGAUUAUCCUAAUCAGAAAAUAUAUAGAGUGAGACAUACCUCACCAGGAGCUAUGUUAACGAUAUGCGGAGUAAAGCUUUGCCCAGUUUUCCCUGCAACCCAAAAAUUCAAGAAAAGUGAUGCACUGUUACAGAACCUCUCUAACCAAUGUUUCACUGCAUCUAUUGAAGCAUAAAGCUAACAUUUUUCUAAUCAUUAUCAACUAAACCAUCAAAAUUCAAUAGAAAGAUUGAAACUUUACAAUCAAUGAGCAUCAGAUUAGGAGAAACACGAAAGAGGGUUCUCACCGACGGAGCCAAGGUGAGAUUUUUUCGAUGGCCCGGCACUAGACGACGCAGCCGCUUGCUCUCUCCUCUCCUUAGCAGACGAGCUGCUCGCGGCGGACGCCAUUUUCUUCUGUAACAAUAUUUUGUUAUUUUUUAACAAAAUAACAGUUUGAAAAUAAAGUAUCAUAUUAAUGUGUUAAAGGCUAUGGCACACAUGUAUAAUUUAACAAUAUAAUAAAUUCAAUACAAUUAUACAAAUACUUUACUAAUCAUUUUUUAAAAUUACGCAAAUACGUUUGUUGAUAAAAACACAAGUAUGAUUACAAAAAAUACAUAUAUAUUACAAAGAAUUAAACAAAUAUAUAAAUUUAAUUUUAAAUAAUAUAUACAAAACAAAUAAUAUACCCGCCCUCACUCUCUAGUGUAGACUUAAAAUCACCAAAAAAUAAUAUAUAAAAUUAAAUAUUAUUAAAUCUAAUAAAACUGGAACAAGAAAAAUAAAUCUAAUAAUAUUAUGUUAUUUUUUCGCUGAAAAUGCGAAAGCAUUACGUAUAUAUAGUUUCGGACCAACCAAUCCCCAAACUAGGCUUCUCAUCAUCGUAUAACAAGAGAACAACAACAACAACAAAACUAGACUUCUCAUCAUCAUCUUACAAGUAUCACCACUUUGGUUUCCUUCAUUUCUUGAUUCUUGAAUCAUCUUCAAGAUUCUCAAAACUUGUUUCUUCCCUCUGAGCUUUGCUUCAAACUUCACUCGCUUGCGCUCUGUAAAGCCCUUCUAAGCUCAGAAGCCAUGACAUGCAAAAGAACAGGUUUCUGAAUCAUACCAUUCAUCCCCAUUUGCAAACACCUCUCCCUAACAUGAUCCUCAGUACUCGCAGUCAAAGCUAUAAUCAAAGGCCAAUGAUGUCCACAAAACUUCCUUAUCUUCAUCGCUACUUCGAAACCAUCCAUCUCAGGCAUCUGCAGAUCCAAUAUCACAACCCUAUACGACAUUUCCACAUUAGACAAGGCACUCA
rnacentral:lncRNA from 1 species